UUGAACGCUGGCGGCAUGCCUUACACAUGCAAGUCGAACGGUAGAGGGGCAACCCUUGAGAGUGGCGAACGGGUGAGUAAUGCAUCGGAACGUGCCCAGUCGUGGGGGAUAACGCAGCGAAAGCUGUGCUAAUACCGCAUGUGAUCUGUGGAUGAAAGCAGGGGACCGCAAGGCCUUGUGCGAUUGGAGCGGCCGAUGUCAGAUUAGCUAGUUGGUAGGGUAAAGCCUACCAAGGCGACGAUCUGUAGCUG
rnacentral:rRNA from 1 species